CACCUGAAGCAUAUGGAAGGUCCCAGGCUAGGGGUCAAAUCAGAGCUAUGGCUGCUGGCCUAUACCACCUCCAGAGCAACGCCAGAUCCAAGCCACGUUUGCAACCUAUACCACAGCUCAUGGCAACGCCAGGCCCUUAACCCACUGAGUGAGCCCAGGGAUCAAACCCAAGUCCUCAUGGAUACUAGUGGGGUUUGUUACCACUGAGCCACGGCGGGAACUCCCUAAAAAUUUCUUUUUCUUUUUACAGCUGCACCUGCAGCAUAUGGAAGUUCCCAGACCAGAGGUCGAAUUGGAGCUCCAGCUGCUGCCUACACCACAGUCAUGGCAACAAUGAAUCCAAGUUACAUCUGAAACCUAGGCCAAAGCUUAUGGCAUGGGUCACCCAUCUGCUGUCAUCUGUGGGAAGGGACCAGUAAGGUCACACGUGGCUUCCUUCCUGGUGCUGAACACCAGCCAGCUCCCUCCUUUCUGGGUGUGCGCUUCAGAAUGGCAAGGAGACCUUAAACCUGCUUCUGCAGCACUUUGGACUGAACUACCUUCUGUUGCCUCAAUCUCUGUUCCAGGACAGGGAGAGAAGGCCCACAGUCUUUGUCUGCUCUGUCACUAAGCAAUUUGCUUCCUCUCAGUGCUCGUGGCUGGACGAUGGUAACAUCUUGAGACUCCUGUUAUGGCUCAGUAAGAAGCAUGAAGACUCCGUUAGACGUUGAACUCAAGCCUCUGCUUUGGACCGAACUUCGAGAACUUUAAUAAAGUGGAACAUUCUGUCUUCCAUCAGUUUCUGUUUCCACGGCACACACAUCUCUCUAGGCACUUCCUAGGGAGGAUGAAUAUGUAGGGUAGGAUUCCAGAAUUUCUGCUCCCCAGGCAAUGAUAUUAAUACGAUAAUUAAUAGUACCAAACACUUUAAGAAGACUGGGUUAAUUAAUAGAGGAAUUCCAUCAGACUUUUAAAGGAGAUCGAUGACAUAAAUAGUAAGGGGCCCGUUUUGUCAUGAGUUUCCUUUUCCUCAAGCAUCGUGUCAGGGUUUGGUCUUACUCAAAAAACAUUUCCUACCCCUCGACCAAAGAAAAUCUCUAAAAUAUAGCUCAGGAAAUUUGAGUAUUGAAGGGAUAUUCAUAAAUAUUUUAAAACUGUCCUUGAUUUUUUGUUACUGAAUUUUUAAAAAUGUGAAUUAAAAACACCGCACUCAACUAAACUCACAUAAUUAUUAUGAGAAUGAAAUUCAACAAGAGGUCAGAAAAUGCUUUGAAAACUGAGAAACAAUACAGAUAAGAAGACUUUUAAAACAAAGAACAUGUUGCAUUAUGGAACCUAAGAUGCCAUAAAGCUAACAAACUAUCAUGGGCGUAUAAAAGGAAACAUGGAGAAUUCGUUCCACCUGCUCAAAGAGGAACAUUUCUUUUUCUUUUUUCCCUCUCUCUCUCCGUGCUUUCUGCUUUUCGUGAGUGUGUGUGUGUGUGUUUAGGGCCACACCUGCAACAUAUGGAAGUUCCCAGGCUAGGGGUGAACCCAAGCUGCAGCUGCCGGCCACAGCCACGGCCACAGCCACACCAGAUCCGAGCUGUGUCUGUGACCUACACCACAGCUCACGGCAACACUGGAUCCUUAGCCCAACGAGUGAGGCCAGGGAUGGAACCUGCGUUCUCACGGACACUAGUGGGGUUCAUUACCACUGAGCCACAGCAGAAACUCCCAAAGAGGAAUAUUUCUGCUUCUUAGUCAUCCUUCUCUGCAAUCCCACUAUUGGACUAUUCAAGUCUAUUUAAUUCUGCCACCGAGGAAAUUUUUUAAUUACUUGGAACAAGGAUCUUUAAACAGGUACUAAGCAUCAAUGGCUCCAAAUUGUUUCAUUCUUGAUACACUUUGUUUCUGCUAAAGUGGGGAGGAGAUGGAGAUGAAAUCGAAUAAAGAACAAGAAAUUCCAGAGCUUAAACCGGGUGGCUAGGUGGCAGAGGCUGUCGGUUUCUUUAAAGAAAUACCUUCCUCGGAAAGUCAGGGAGGAGAAUCAAUUUUUACUCUCACUAUCAAGUCCCAAGUCCAAAUAAUACAUCCGCUGGACACUAGCUGGGUCAGAAAAAGAUGUUCUCUGCAGCUAAGCUCUUAUUCUAGUGAGGAAAUGUUUUGUGUGCACAUUGUUAUGUCCUCAUUCAUCCAGUGGGAACGUCACAAAUGUUCACGAAUCUGGUUUGACAUGGUCGCACUGCCCUAGACGAGCCAUAAUGCUGUUGAAUUUAAAACAUCAUCAACGUAAGACAAAGUGGUCCAUUCUUCACGUGCCCUGAUGCCCUAGUGAACUCAUUAUCAGCUAUGGCUGGCACUGCGUCCCCCUAGUUCAUAUGUUGAAGCUUUACCCCUUACGGUGAUUGUAUUUGAAGAUGGGGCCUCUUCAGGGGUCAUUAAGGCUAAAGGAGGUCAUGAGGCUGGGAACCUGAGCCAAUGGGAUUGGGGUCCUUUUAAGAAGAGGACGAUACACCAGAACACUCUCCCUCUGCCUUCCUCCCUCCCUCUCUCUCUCCACGUGUAGGCACAGAGGAAAGACCAUGUGAGGACAUGUGAGGAGUGGCCACCUGCACGACAGAGAGAGGGGCCUCACCGGAAACCAACCCCGCUGGCCCCUCGACGUGGAAAUAAACACCUGCUGUUUAAGUCCUGUGUCCUGGGGUAUCUUGUGAUGGGAGGCCUUCCUGAUGAAGACACUGUCCCUUGCUUAGGUGCAUCAUCAGCCUCGUUAUGGACCUUGGGGAGAAUAAGAGUAGCCCAGCAACGAGGAAGCAGGGGCUUCACUGCAGGAAGAAGUGAUGGAAAGCGUGGGACGCUCCAAGCACUGAUGCAAAGAAUGGCUAUUGUACCAACAGCCACUGGGUGAGGUAGCAGCAAACAAUGUUGAGGAUGAAAAUGAAGAAGAACAGGAGUUCCUGCUGUGGCACAACAGGAUAGGCAGCCUCUUGGGAGUGCUGGAACGCAGGUUCGAUCCCCAGCCCAGGACCAUGGGUUAAGGAUCCAGCGUUGCAGCUGUGGCUUAGGUUGCGACUGAGGCUUGGAUAUGAUCCCUGGCCCUGGAGCUCCAUAUGCUGCGGGGCAGCCAAAAUGAAAAAAAAAAAGAGUUACGGUUAAAUUAUUUUCGUUCUAUACUUAGAGAACCACAAAGGGUAAGACGGGAUUACUGAUAUUUUUCUCUCACUUUAUUGAAUCUGGGGCGAUAUUUUUUCCUGCAGGGAGCCCAGGGCAUAUCAUAUUUUCCCUCUUCUCUUCCAGUGCUUAGAGCUUCCCCACUCCAAUUUUACCUUGCUAUCUUCUUGUAUUUCAGAAUUUUACUUAGUUACCAAUUUCUCUACAGGCCUCUUUGUCACUGAAACUUACUGUUUAAGGCUUAUUUUAAAGCCGCAAUAAACAAUCAGAGACUGACUCUUAAAGGGCCCC
rnacentral:lncRNA from 1 species